rnacentral:lncRNA from 1 species
UUUUUUUUUUUUUUUUUUUAAUGGCUGCACUUGCAGCAUAUGGAAGCUUCUAGGCCAGGGACUGAAUCCAAGUCAAGUUGCUGCCUGUACUGCAGCUGCAGCAACAUCAGAUCUCUUAACCCACUGCACCGGUCCUGGGAUCAAACCCAUGCCUCCACAGCAACCCAAGUGGCUGCAGUCAGAUUCUUAAUCCACUGUGCCACAGCAGGAACUCCAAGAGUUUUCACCUUUGUUUGUUGACAUUUCCUAAGUGAAUAUUUGAAUUAUUUAUUCAAUCUUGAAACUCUACUAUUCAGUGUUUUCUUAAUUUACAUAAUCUUGUACAGCUUCAGAUUAUUACAUAUAAAAGAACAAUUUUAGUUUGGAAAGAAAUUUCUACACCAAUGAAGAAAUUUUAAGUAAGAAGAAGGGUGACCCAUUAAUAAAUAUCUUAAGGCUUUCAUUGUAAUUAAUAAACAGUCCUUGAUGAAACUGCAAAAUGCGUAAUAGUUUUUUGAUUUUAAUUUAGACUGUAGUAUAACUUUUUUAAAAAAAUUCUUCACAAUCAGUUUGGUCCUGCCCAUUAAAAAAUGAGUGUUGGAGUUCCCGUCGUGGCGCAGUGGUUAACGAAUCCGACUAGGAACCCUGAGGUUGCGUGUUCGGUCCCUGCCCUUGCUCAGUGGGUUAACGAUCCGGCGUUGCCGUGAGCUGUGGUGUAGGUUGCAGACGCGGCUCGGAUCCCGCGUUGCUGUGGAAUCUGCCUCAUAGAGUUACUGUGAGAAUUAAUCCACAUAAAUACUUGCACUUGGGGAGCACUCAAUACAUGUUAGCUGCUAUUAUCACCAUCAACAUUGUCAUUAUCUUCUUCAUUAGUCUCAUUCGCCAUUUAUCUUCUGCUCCUAGCAGGGAGCAUAUGCUCAGUAAAUAUUUGUCAAGUGAAGAAGUGAAUCAAUGAAUCAUACACAAAUGGGUCUGACUACCCUCAGUAUACUUCCAGGUAGGAUUUCAGACAAAUAGAAAAAAUUUUUAAAAGACUCUAAAAAUUAAUGGCACUAAAUUACUCUUAUUUGAACCUGCUAUUUAGAGAUUUAGUCACAAAGUCCUAGUCAUUCUCUGGUCCUUGGGGAACAGGUGUUCUUUCUGUUUUCUUUUUGAACUUCUGGUUGUGCCUAGCACAGAGGUUUGUAUCCUUUCUACCAAAAAAAAUUCUUACUUAGCCAAGUCACUUAAGUUAAAAUCUGAAAAUAAAUGAACAUAGAUUAUAAAAUGGGUAAAUGUUAGAAUACUCAUAAUAUUUAACUACAUUAUCUUAACAAAUCCAGUUUGCAGCAUUUAUGUUUCUUGCAAUGUUGCUAUACAUUGAAGUGUCAUAGUGAGAAUCAUUACUUCUACACUUUCUAGCUUAAAACUGCAGUAAAAAUUAUGUAAAUAGUAACUAAAGAGUUAUAUUUCCGUGAGCUGCCUCACUGUGAGUGGACAACAAAAGUCUCAGGGUGUGUGGCUUUGAAAUACUUCUUUUGUUACUAACUUAAAUCAUUUUCAAUCUCAUAUUCAUAAUAUUUCUCAUGAGAAGUGUUCUAUAUUGAAUAGUGCUGAUAAGUUUUCUAAUUUAUUUCGAGCUUCACUAUGGAAAGAUGCUAUUAGAUUAUAGAGUAGCACUGUUACAUUUAAGGUUUAUACUAGUUCUUUUUUAACUUAUAAAAAUGAAUGUGAACUUCAGCAGCAAAGAGUUUAUUUUUUAUUAAGAUGAAUACUGAAUAAUUAUUUUAACUGAGUGAGGAAAAGAAGGGAUGUAGAUUCAGAGAAGAGUUAAAGUUCUCUUUCUACUUGUGUAUAUUCUUGGUGCAAUUAUUAUUUUUUCACCAUAUUUUCUAUAUUGAAAAUAAACUUAAAAAAACUAAAAAAAUACCCAUAAACCUUGAUUCUCCUUAUCACACCAUUUCUCACAAGUAUACUGACAAAAGAACUGCAGGUCCUAAAAGCUAAAGUCAGUGGUUUUCAAAUGUUUGUGUGUACACUGCAGACUAAGGAGGGGUAUUUGUUAGGAAUGCAGAUUCUUGGGCUACACCCAGGAUUCUCAUCUCUUGGGGUGUGGCUCAGAGUCAAGUGAGAAAAUGUGUCAAGGUAGAGGAAAAGAAACUAACCCAGUAAUUGUUCUAUCUAAAAUCUAAAAACAUUCUUCUAGUUUCUUCUUUGCUUCUUUUUGCCUCUUUUUACUUUCUCUGGACUUGAACAUGAGGCUCUAAUUGUUUCUCAGAUGCACUUCCAACUCUUUCAAAAUUCCAGAAACAAGCUCAAGGUGAAGCUGCCUGGUCAUUUUUACAUAUGCGCUGGACGCAGGGCUGCUGAAAUUCCAAACCUUAAACUUGAAAGGAAGACUAGGAGUUCCCACCUUGGCUCAGUGGAAAUGAAUCCAACUAGGAACUAUGAAGUUGUGGGUUUGAUCCCUGGCUUGCUCAGUGGGUUAAGGGUCUGGUGUUGCUGUGAGCUGUGGCAUAGGCUGCAGACGCAGCUCAGAUCUGGCGUUGCUUUGGCUCUGGCGUAGGCCAGCAGCAACAGCUCCAAUUCAACCCCUAGGCUGGGAACCUUCAUAUGCUGCGGGUGUGGCCCUAAAAAGAC